rnacentral:rRNA from 1 species
UACGGAGGGGACUAGCGUUGUUCGGAAUCACUGGGCGUAAAGGGUGCGUAGGCGGGUUCUUAAGUCAGAGGUGAAAUCCUGGAGCUCAACUCCAGAACUGCCUUUGAUACUGAGAGUCUUGAGUUCGGGAGAGGUGAGUGGAACUGCGAGUGUAGAGGUGAAAUUCGUAGAUAUUCGCAAGAACACCAGUGGCGAAGGCGGCUCACUGGCCCGGUACUGACGCUAAGGCGCGAAAGCGUGGGGAGCGAACAGG